CCCUUAGAUGUCCUGGGCCGCACGCGCGCUACACUGAUGCCUGCAACGAGUUUAUAACCUUGGCCUGAAAGGUCUGGGUAAUCUUUUGAACGUGCAUCGUGAUAGGGAUAGAUUAUUGCAAUUGUUAAUCUUGAACGAGGAAUUCCUAGUAAACGCGAGUCAUCAGCUCGCAUUGAUUACGUCCCUGCCCUUUGUACACACCGCCCGUCGCACCUACCGAUUGAAUGGUUCGGUGAAGAUCUCGGACUUCGAUAUUUAUUCUUUAUUGAGUUUAUAUUGUGGGAAGUUAUCUAAACCUCAUCAUUUAGAGGAAGGUGAAGUCGUAACA
rnacentral:rRNA from 1 species